rnacentral:lncRNA from 1 species
CAACUAAAGCGUGGAAUACCAGAAUGUGAUGGCUGGCACCAUGGGAGAUUGAUGACAAAUCAGAAAAAAAAAUGUAAGGUGGCUUUUAUUACCCCCGUUUUAUAGGUUAAAACUCUAAAUUUUGUGCCCAGGGUAAUGCAGCAAACUUGGAGAAGCAGCCAGUGAAGCUGUUUUCCAAUCAGGACUCUGGCUCUAACCAUCAGCUUCUAGUUUUUUCCCUCACCUGCGUGUUCAGACACCUAAGGCCCCAACCAAAGUGCCUAGGACAUUAAUAACAGGUGGAGGAGC